UCGACGACGUAGUUGAUCGACGUGGCCUCAGACGACGCUGGCGGCGUGCUUAACACAUGCAAGUCGAGCGAUGAAGCUUCUUCAGAAGUGGAUUAGCGGCGGACGGGUGAGUAACACGUGGGUAACCUGCCUCAUAGAGGGGAAUAGCCUUUCGAAAGGAAGAUUAAUACCGCAUAAGAUUGUAGUAUCGCAUGGUCAUUAUAGCAAAGAUUUAUCGACAUGAGAUGGACCCGCGUUGGAUUAGCUAGUUGGUGAGAUAACAGCCCACCAAGGCGACGAUCCAUAGCCGGCCUGAGAGGGUGAACGGCCACAUUGGGACUGAGACACGGCCCAGACUCCUACGGGAGGCAGCAGUGGGGGAUAUUGCACAAUGGGGGAAACCCUGAUGCAGCAACGCCGCGUGAAGGAAGAAGGUCUUCGGAUUGUAAACUUCUGUUUUUAGUGAAGAAACAAAUGACGGUAGCUAAAGAGGAAGCCACGGCUAACUACGUG
rnacentral:rRNA from 1 species